UUCAUGGCAACAGGCUCCACGCUGCCCAAACGCGCGCGCGGAACGGCGGGCUGGCGAAGACUGCCGGACGUUAGGACCGGCAGCAGGAACUGGGACCCCGCGGCUAAAGUGCGGUGCUCGGAGAAGCCGGCGGCGACGCUAAGAGCCCAGGUGAGCUCCCGCCUGGCGCAUUUCAAACGGGCCAAUCAGCGCCCGUCCGCAGGGAGCGGCAGGACCUCCGCGGAAGUGACUGCGCUACCGGAAGUGGCGUUUGUCUCCUAGGCGACCGACGCUGAAAGGGCUGCGGAGUUGUGUGUCAGGGCUGGAGGGCGAUCUUGAGCCUCACUAGAUGGCAUUGUUGCAUGCCCAGUGCCUCGCAGUGCAGGUGCCCCAUACAUGGCUUGAAGGGGAUCAAUGAAUCAUCCCUUCAAAGAACACUCCAGUUGAGGACCCAGUUACACCGCACCACCUCCAGCUUCUCUUCAGGUACUCAUCUAAGGAACUCUCACCCCAAAGUCUUGUCAUCCUCACCAGAAGUGAUGCAAGGAUGCCUCCUCCUAGCCAGUCCCAGAGCCAGAGCAGAGGAGGCACAUUCUGCAGGGCCCCGUCCCUCCUUCCCUAGACAGAGCGGGGAAAGAACUCUGCCAGCAGGUGGAAACCCCCGUGACUCCGACACCUUCUCUCCACCACAUCCUCUGGAGCUUCAGUGAGCUCAGGUUCAUCUGGAGGAUGACUCGGCCUCUGUUUCCCAUUGCAGUGCUGUGACCCCCAGAAGCUCAGUAAAACAACUGACUUCCUGGUGUUGCCAACAGGCAGAGAGGAGAUACAGCCAGUCCUUACCCUGUAGAAGAUGGGCAGGGAGUCCCACAUGUACGGAUAAGCAAAGGCGAGCACACGAAUCACCUUACAGAGUCUGGGCUUCUGGAUUUCAAGAAACCUAAAUGAGGGAAGGAAAGUGGGGAGGAAAUGGAAUGAAAAGAGUCUCAGUAAAUUGCACACGCACAUGCGUGCACACCGAGGGCCUGGUCAUCGACAGAGGACAAGCAUUUUUGUACAAGCUCCUGUGGCCAGCAGCUUCUCCACCAGCCUCAUCCAUUCCUCCCACCCCAAUGGAAGUGACAAAACUUCAGAUGCAAAAAGAUCUCCAGAGACACCACCUCCAGACCAUGGGAAGCAGUGGUGUCCAGACUAAGCCAGAAAGGAGGCGCUGGGCAGAAACCCUUUGAGGGCCACGUUACAUAACUGCCAAAGAGCCUUUUAAAACUCUAGUUGCUACCAGGACAGGGAAUGAGUAGGGAGCUUCAGGGGAUCCACUGCCACAGACUUUUGGGGGGCACACUCUGCAAAGGCUGAGAUGCACCCAUCUAGUUGGAGCCCAGGUAUUAUCACGCAGGAGGCCUGGGUUGAAGUAGGCAUUUGAUCCUUGGAGAGCUUUCUGGAAUAUUUAUACCACACACAGGGAUACUUGGCUUGGGAAAACUAAAUAAACAUGAAGUCUUUCCUUCUCUC